rnacentral:pre_miRNA from 1 species
GACGCUCACUCUGGUAUCGGUGCUGCAGCUGGUGUUGUGAAUCAGGCCGACGAGCAGCGAGUCCUAAUACCCGGCUAUUUCACUACACCAGGGUUGCAUCAUACCACUCCGCUUC